CGGGCUGGCCGGGUGAUCGCGGCAGUCAUUUUCGGCUGCUGAGGAAAGUCCGCACUCCACAGAGCACGGCGCCGGGUAACACCCGGAGCGGGGUAACCUGCUGGAUCGGGCCACAGAAACAAACCGCUGCCUGUUUCAGGCAGCAAGGGUGAAAAGGUGGUGUAAGAGACCACCGGAGUCCGCAGUAAUGCGGCUGCCAGGCAACCCCCGCCGGGAGCAAAGCCAAGCAGGAACGAGGGGCUGCUCGUCCCGUUUGAGUUCCGGGUAGGCUGCAUAGAACCGUCUGGUAACAGCCGGUCAAGAGAGAUGAUCACCCCACCCGCAGCCGUCCCAAUCGGGAUACCCUGCGGGUGGACAGAAUGCGGCUUACAGGCCAGCCCGGUAC
rnacentral:RNase_P_RNA from 1 species